GUAACACGUGGAUCAUCUGCCCUUUAGUGGGGAAUACCGUUGGGAAACCGACGACAAUACCGCAUAAGCUCGAGAGAGGAAAGCGGUUCUAUGAAAGUAGAAGCCGCGCUGAAGGAGGAGUCCGGGCGAUUAGCUAGUUGGCAGGGUAAUGGCCUACCAAGGCUGUGAUCGGUAGCCGGCCUGAGAGGGCACACGGCACACUGGCACUGAGACACGGGCCAGACUCCUACGGGAGGCAGCAGUGGGGAAUCUUGCCCAAUGGGGGAAACCCUGAUGCAGGACGCCGGUGAGCGAUGAAGCCCUUCGGGGUGUAAAGCUCUUUCGGCAGGGAAGAUAAUGACGGUACCUGCAGAAGCAGCUGCGGCUAACUACGUGCCAGCAGCCGCGGUAAUACGUAGGCAGCAAGCGUUGUUCGGAGUUACUGGGCGUAAAGGGUGCGUAGGCGGUCGAUAAGUAUGGUGUGAAAUCUCCCGGUUAACUGGGAGGGUGCGCUAUAGACUGCGGGCUAGAGUGUGGGAGAGGACA
rnacentral:rRNA from 1 species